AACGAACGCUGGCGGCAGGCCUAACACAUGCAAGUCGAGCGAGGACUUCGGUCCUAGCGGCGGACGGGUGAGUAACGCGUGGGAACGUGCCCUUUGCUUCGGAAUAGCCCUGGGAAACUGGGAGUAAUACCGGAUGAGCCCUUUGGGGGAAAGAUUUAUCGGCGAAGGAUCGGCCCGCGUUGGAUUAGGUAGUUGGUGGGGUAAUGGCCUACCAAGCCGACGAUCCAUAGCUGGUUUGAGAGGAUGAUCAGCCACACUGGGACUGAGACACGGCCCAGACUCCAACGGGAGGCAGCAGUGGGGAAUCUUAGACAAAGGGGGAAAGGCUGAUAUAGCCAUGCCGCGGGAAAGAUGAAGGCCUUAGGGUUGUAAAGCUCUUUCAGCUGGGAAGAUAAUGACGGUACCAUAAGAAGAAGCCACGGCUAACUCCGUG
rnacentral:rRNA from 1 species